rnacentral:lncRNA from 1 species
UUUUUCUUCCUGUGCCACUCUUGGACGUGACUGGAUGAAGACUUCAAAAGACAGUUUCUAAAUUUCAUAGAGAAGCAAGGUAUCAUUCCCAAUCCCAAAUUCAGAUAUACAGAGAAAGAGUCUAACCUUAUUCUUCUACCUUUGCUUCUCUUCUCAGUUCAGCUCUCUCUUUUUUUGAUACAAAAAACUCCAUCUCCAGCUAACCUGGAAAAAGUCUAUGCUAUAUUUUUUAAUGGACAGGCAAAUUGCUCAUAAAAUUUCUGCACAGGUUGGGUCCUCCUAGAAGCAGAUUCUGAGAUGGUGUUUAGCAGGCAGAGGGAGGCUUUUUAGGAAGUGCUCUGAUAGUCAUUUGUGGGAGGAAAUAAAGGAAGGGAUGGGAGGGAGGCAAGCUUGAGCAGGGGAGAAAUUGACCAAGCCUCAGGCAUCCCUGCAGGGAGGAUUCUGAAGGUGGGAUGAUGCAUCAGAGUUGUACUGAGUUGGGGCUGGGUUCUGAGCUGUUCUGAUGGGCCUUUAUACCCCAGCAUGGACCAGUCUUUACAUGCAGGCCACCUCAGUGACCUUGGGCAAGGUGGCUCUCUUCAGCUGAGGCACUGCCCCCAGGAGAUGUCAGCCGAGCCAAGGGCUUUCUGCUGGCAGCACUCCCAGUAGCUGGAGGAGUAAGUCCUUUCCUGGCAUCAUAGCUUCCACCACAGUUCCCUUCCAGGCUGCUGAGGUCCAUGCUUCCUUGUCCCAUCCAUGCCUAUAAGAACACCACAUUAAAUGGCUGAGACUGAGAUAUGGGGACAGUCAUUCAUUUAAAACUAAGCCUCAUAGCUACCAUCUUCUCUGCGUCCAAAGGACAAUUUAGGACCUGGGAAAACAACAUCAGAGUUAAAUUGCAAAAACACUACUCUCUACACUAGUCCCUGAUGUAAUGUUCAAGUCAGGGUUUAAUCAUUCCUAAAGCUUAUCUGUGAUAAUGCGUAUAGCAUUUCAGUCGUUACCUUUCAUGGAGCUAUCAAUGACAGCCUUCACAUAUUGAAAUUUAGAGCCAUGCUAAUUCUCAUGACACAUGUCUACUUUUUCAGAGUUUUCUCUAGGAAUGCAAUGAAACCACCCAGAAAAAAAGCACCAGUCACUCACUGAGGCUUUGAAAGGCAAGAAGAUUGUGAUAAAAUAGAAAUUACAACCAAUCUUCUGGUGGAGAACAUU